rnacentral:rRNA from 1 species
GGGCAACCCUGAUCCAGCCAUGCCGCGUGUGUGAAGAAGGCCUUCGGAUUGUAAAGCACUUUAGUUCGGAAAGAAAGCCCCGUUACUAAUACUCGAUGGGGAUGACGGUACCGGCAGAAUAAGCACCGGCUAACUACGUGCCAGCAGCCGCGGUAAUACAUAGGGUGCAAGCGUUAAUCGGAAUUACUGGGCGUAAAGCGCGCGCAGGCGGUUGGCUAAGACCGAUGUGAAAUCCCCGGGCUCAACCUGGGAACUGCAUUCGAGACUGACUGACUAGAGUAUGGCAGAGGGGGGUAGAAUUCCACGUGUAGCAGUGAAAUGCGUAGAGAUGUGAAGGAACACCGAUGGCGAAGGCAGACCCCUGGACUAAUACUGACACUCAUGCGCGAAAGCGUGGGGAGCAAACAGGAUUAGAUACCCUGGUAGUCCACGCCGUAAACGAUGUCAACUAGUCGUCGGGACUCCAUUGACUUCUUAAAUGGCUUUCUCGCGUAUAAUUGACCCCUUGGGGAGUACGGGCCCCAAGUUCAAACUCAAAGGAAUUUACGGGGACCCGCAC